rfam:Parcubacteria (Giovannonibacteria) bacterium GW2011_GWC2_44_8 TW74_C0008, whole genome shotgun sequence.
UCUGGUGAUUUAAGGCGGUGGUCCCACCCGUUCCCAUUCCGAACACGGUCGUGAAACGCCGUACUGCCGAUGAUACUCAAAAGGGAAAGUAGGUAGUCGCCAGAA